rnacentral:tRNA from 1 species
AUUUAAAUAGUUUAUAAAAAUUUUGAUUUGUGGUGUCAAAGAUAUGAAAUUAAUUCAUUUUAAAUC